rnacentral:rRNA from 1 species
AUUGAACGCUGGCGGCAGGCCUAACACAUGCAAGUCGAACGAGUGGCGGACGUGUGAGUAAUGUCUGUGAAACUUCCCGAUGGAGGGGGAUAACUACUGGAAACUGUAGCUAAUACCGCAUACCAUCGGAUGUGCCCAGGUGGGAUUAGCGAGUGGGUGGGGUAACGGCUCACCUAGGCGACGAUCCCUAGCUGGUCUGAGAGGAUGACCAGCCACACUGGAACUGAGACACGGUCCAGACUCCUACGGGAGGCAGCAGUGGGGAAUAUUGGACAAUGGGCGCAAGCCUGAUGCAGCCAUGCCGCGUGUAUGAAGAAGGCCUUCGGAUUGUAAAGUACUUUCAGCGAGGAGGCGUUACUCGCAGAAGAAGCACCGGCUAACUCCGUGCCAGCAGCCGCGGUAAUUC